rnacentral:rRNA from 1 species
UACGUAGGUGGCAAGCGUUGUCCGGAUUUACUGGGCGUAAAGAGCGCGCAGGCGGUCGUGCAAGUCGCGUGUGAAAGCCCCCGGCUCAACUGGGGAGGGUCACGCGAUACUGUUCGACUCGAAGGCAGGAGAGGGAAGCAGAAUUCCCGGUGUAGUGGUGAAAUGCGUAGAUAUCGGGAGGAAUACCAGUGGCGAAGGCGGCUUCCUGGCCUGUUCUUGACGCUGAGGCGCGAAAGCUAGGGGAGCAAACGGG